CCUACGGGUGGCAGCAGUGAGGAAUAUUGGUCAAUGGACGAGAGUCUGAACCAGCCAAGUAGCGUGAAGGAUGACGGCCCUCGGGGUUGUAAACUUCUUUUAUAUGGGAAUAAAAUGUUCCUCGUGUGGCCUUUUGUAUGUACCAUAUGAAUAAGGAUCGGCUAACUCCGUGCCAGCAGCCGCGGUAAUACGGAGGGGCCGCGCGUUAUCCGGAUUUAUUGGGUUUAAAGGGAGCGUAGGUGGGCUGUUAAGUCAGUUGUGAAAGUUUGCGGCUCAACCGUAAAAUUGCAGUUGAAACUGGCAGUCUUGAGUGCAGUAGAGGUGGGCGGAAUUCGUGGUGUAGCGGUGAAAUGCUUAGAGAUCAGGAAGAACUCCGAUGGCGAAGGCAGUUCACUGGACUGAAACUGACGCUGAGGCUCGAAAGUGUGGGUAUCAAACAGGAUUAGAUACCCGGGUAGUC
rnacentral:rRNA from 1 species